UACGAAGGGGGCUAGCGUUGCUCGGAGUUACUGGGCGUAAAGGGCGCGUAGGCGGAUAUUUAAGUUAGAGGUGAAAGCCCAGGGCUCAACCCUGGAAUAGCCUUUAAUACCGGAUAUCUUGAGUUCGGGAGAGGUGAGUGGAACUCCGAGUGUAGAGGUGAAAUUCGUAGAUAUUCGGAAGAACGCCAGUGGCGAAGGCGACUCACUGGCCCGAUACUGACGCUGAGGCGCGAAAGCGUGGGGAGCAAACAGG
rnacentral:rRNA from 1 species